rnacentral:tRNA from 2 species
GCCCACAUAGCUCAGUGGUAGAGCACUUCCUUGGUAAGGAAGAGGUCACCGGUUCAAUCCUGGUUGUGGGCU